rnacentral:rRNA from 1 species
AUUGCUGGAACGCGCCCCUGGCGCACCCAGAAACCCUUUGUGAACUUAUACCUUACUGUUGCCUCGGCGCAGGCCGGCCCCUACGGGGUCCCUCGGAGACGAGGAGCAGCCGGCCGGUGGCCAAGUUAACUCUGUUUUUACACUGAAACUCUGAGUACAAAACAUAAAUGAAUCAAAACUUUCAACAACGGAUCUCUUGGUUCUGGCAUCGAUGAAGAACGCAGCGAAAUGCGAUAAGUAAUGUGAAUUGCAGAAUUCAGUGAAUCAUCGAAUCUUUGAACGCACAUUGCGCCCUCUGGUAUUCCGGAGGGCAUGCCUGUUCGAGCGUCAUUUCAACCCUCAAGCCUGGCUUGGUGUUGGGGCACUGCUUUACCCACAAGCAGGCCCUGAAAUAUAGUGGCGAGCUCGCCAGGACUCCGAGCGUAGUAGUUAAACCCUCGCUUUGGAAGGCCUGGCGGUGCCCUGCCGUUAAACCCCAACUUUUGAAAAUUUGACCUC